UACGUAGGGCGCAAGCGUUAUCCGGAAUUAUUGGGCGUAAAGAGCUCGUAGGCGGUUUGUCGCGUCUGCCGUGAAAGUCCGGGGCUCAACUCCGGAUCUGCGGUGGGUACGGGCAGACUAGAGUGUGGUAGGGGAGACUGGAAUUCCUGGUGUAGCGGUGAAAUGCGCAGAUAUCAGGAGGAACACCAAUGGCGAAGGCAGCUCGCUGGAACGGUACUGACGCUGAGGCGCGAAAGCGUGGGGAGCGAACAGG
rnacentral:rRNA from 1 species